UACGUAGGGGGCAAGCGUUGUCCGGAAUUACUGGGCGUAAAGCGCGUGUAGGUGGUGGGGCAAGUCUGCUGUGAAAGCGCCUGGCUUAACCGGGCGAGGUCGGCGGAAACUGUCCGACUAGAGGACGGUAGAGGGGGGUGGAAUUCCCGGUGUAGUGGUGAAAUGCGUAGAGAUCGGGAGGAACACCUGUGGCGAAGGCGGCCCCCUGGGCCGGCCCUGACACUGAGACGCGAAGGCGUGGGGAGCGAACGGG
rnacentral:rRNA from 1 species